AACAAUGGGUGAAUCUACAGGAUGUCAAGCAGCAACUCUCAGGUGAACCACUCAGUCAGUGGAUCUGGUGUUAACUAUACAAUGCCAAAUGUCUUCUGGUGAUCUGAAGACAUCAGGGGCUUUUCUAUCAUGUAGACCAAACAUGAUUCAGUGCAAAAAAGGGCCUGGAAGACUGCGUACGGAAAAAUGGGGCAGCAGUGUGAGAGUAUUCUGAAACAACGCGAAGACAGAAAUAGCAGCGCCGACAGAGUUGCAGAACUCCAGAGCCAGAAGGAUGAUAUCUCAACAAAUGACAGAGCCCAAUUCAUUGACUCCAAUAAGAACGACA
rnacentral:lncRNA from 1 species